GCACGGAAUUAGCCGGUGCUUCUUCUGUGGGUAGCGUCAACUCCCAGGGGUAUUAGCCCUGAGCCUUUCCUCCCCACUGAAAGUGCUUUACAACCCGAAGGCCUUCUUCACACACGCGGCAUGGCUGCGUCAGGGUUGCCCCCAUUGCGCAAUAUUCCCCA
rnacentral:rRNA from 1 species